ACCUGCAUCAGCUAGCUGACGGUUAUCGAUUGACUUGUAAUCAGUAGUUCCCGAGUUCGACUCUUGGUGCCGGCACCA
rnacentral:tRNA from 1 species